CUAACCCACAACUAAUAAAUACUAAAUCAUAAUCGCACUAACAAACCCACGGAGAUCAGUUUCCCAAAACCGACUACCGUAACUCGCCGGACGUCCCGAAAUCGCACUGGGACUCCGUCGGGACCACUGAAAUGUCACCGACUCAUGCUACGAGUCACCCGCUGCCACAAAACGCAUCAAAUAAGAUGUCUUGGCAGCAAACACAAAAUCUCGCCUCCAAACAAUUAUCGUCGGAUAAUCGUUCGGAUCUGGAUU
rnacentral:lncRNA from 1 species